CAGCCGCCGCGGUAAUACCGGCGGCCCGAGUGGCGGUCACUAUUAUUGGGCUUAAAGCGUCCGUAGCCGGGUUGGGAAGUCCUCCGGGAAAUCUGGCCGCUUAAAGGUCAGAAUGCCGGAGGAUACUCCCAGCCUAGGGAGGGGGAGAGGCCGAGGGGUUUCCCGGAGUAGGGGGGAAAUCCUAUAAUUCCGGGAGGACCACCUGUGGCGAAGGCGCUCGGCUGGAACGCGUCCGACGGUGAGGGACGAAGGCCAGGGGAGCAAACCGGAUUAGAUACCCGGGUAGUCCUGGCUGUAAACGAUGCGGACUUUGUGUCGGACAAGCUAUGAGCUUGUCCGGUGCCGGAGGGAAACCGUUAAGUCCGCCGCCUGGGGAGUACGGCCGCAAGGCUGAAACUUAAAGGAAUUGGCGGG
rnacentral:rRNA from 1 species